rnacentral:rRNA from 1 species
AUUGAACGCUGGCGGCAGGCUUAACACAUGCAAGUCGAGCGGGGUGAUGGUGCUUGCACUAUCACUUAGCGGCGGACGGGUGAGUAAUGCUUAGGAAUCUGCCUAUUAGUGGGGGACAACAUCUCGAAAGGGAUGCUAAUACCGCAUACGUCCUACGGGAGAAAGCAGGGGAUCACUUGUGACCUUGCGCUAAUAGAUGAGCCUAAGUCGGAUUAGCUAGUUGGUGGGGUAAAGGCCUACCAAGGCGACGAUCUGUAGCGGGUCUGAGAGGAUGAUCCGCCACACUGGGACGGAGGAACGGCCCAGACUCCUACGGGAGGCAGCAGUGGGGAAGAUUGGACAAUGGGGGGAACCCUGAUCCAGCCAUGCCGCGUGUGUGAAGAAGGCCUUAUGGUUGUAAAGCACUUUAAGCGAGGAGGAGGCUCUUUUGGUUAAUACCCAAGAUGAGUGGACGUUACUCGCAGAAUAAGCACCGGCUAACUCUGUGCCAGCCGCCGCAGUAA